CCCUUAGAUGUUCUGGGCCGCACGCGUGCUACACUGAGUAAAUCAAUGGGUAAGGGAACACGAAAGUGCAACCUAAUCUUGAAAUUUGCUCGUGAUGGGGAUCGACGGUUGCAAUUUUCCGCCGUGAACGAGGAAUACCUUGUAGGCGCGUGUCAUCAUCACGCGCCGAAUACGUCCCUGCCCUUUGUACACACCGCCCGUCGCUCCUACCGAUUGAGUGAUCCGGUGAGGCUCUGGGACCUGGACGGAAAGAGCGUUUCGCUUGUUCUGUUUGGGAAACUUGGUCGAACCUUAUCAUUUAGAGGAAGGAGAAGUCGUAACA
rnacentral:rRNA from 1 species